rnacentral:lncRNA from 1 species
CAUAGUUAUCCCUGUUGCUGUAAGACAUCCUUCUCUCCAUGUAACUUCCAUCCAGUUUCCUUCUGGAAGUCAUUAAGGGUUAAGUCAUGCCAGCACACAGAAUUAUUUCUAUUCCCUGACAAUUUGGCUCGAGGAGGUUCCUAUUGCUUUUAAUGGUGUAUGAGAAACAACAUGUGAAAUGGUUGGUGAACCUUAUUAAUUUGAUCAAGUGUAUCACUUGAAAUUAAGCUUUCAGUGUGUUCUGUAUGGGUAGAAAAUUCAUUGCAUGGCUUCUUUACAUCAUGCACAUUAAAUGCAGCAAAUAAAGGACCAGUUAAGUGCAUAUUAACACAAAACCUGCCAAUAAUUUCCUCUGAUAAUUUUUUAAUUUCAGGAGGUGGACAGUGGGUUUCCGAAAGGAGCUUAAGUGAAUAUGCUGAGGACUCUGUAGUUCAAGGUGUCUUGGAAAGGCAGUUGAACAGACCCUCCAAUGGGUUCAGGGCUCAGAAUAGAAUUUCUCCUCACAUGGGGGUGUGGAGGUCAGAUCCUGAAAAACAUUCCAGCUCAGCUUCUGAAGAUGGAACCUCCUCCAGCAGAGACUUGGAGAACAUCUAUGGAAAUACUACAGAUUUCCAUGAAAACCUGGAGCUAGAAGACCAUGAUACAGAUGAUAUUUUUGGGACCUGGGAUGAAAGCCAAAUGGAUGAGGAGGAAAUUCUGGAGGAUAAACUACAGGUUCUUGCAUUACAGUGAACACAGAAAGGACUCAAUUCCCUCUCCAUCUUUGUGUGUCACACCAAACCAAGAAGCAGAAGAGGUGUUCUGAGUGCUGGUCAAGAUAUUUUUUACUAAGGAUUAUCUUGUGAAGUUGUCAGUAAAACUCCUUAAAAAUAUCUUGCUUUUGUUUUUUUUUUAUUAGUCUGAAGAAACAACAGAAUAAAAGAAAACUGGUCUUGUGCUUCUUUUUUUUU